GGAACACCAAAGGCGAAGGCAGGUCACUGGGCAGUUGCUGACACUGAGGCACGAAGGCCAGGGUAGCGAACGGGAUUAGAUACCCCGGUAGUCCUGGCAGUAAACGGUGCACGCUUGGUGUGGGGACAUUCGACCGUCUCUGCGCCGGAGCUAACGCGUUAAGCGUGCCGCCUGGGAAGUACGAUCGCAAGAUUAAAACUCAAAGAAAUUGACGGGGACCCGCACAAGCGGUGGAGUAUGUGGCUUAAUUCGAUGCAACGCGAAGAACCUUACCUGGUCUUGACAUGCAUUCUGUCGUCGGUGAAGGCCGGCUAGCGUAGCAAUACGCGGUUUGCACAGGUGCUGCAUGGCUGUCGUCAGCUCGUGUCGUGAGGUGUUGGGUUAAGUCCCGCAACGAGCGCAACCCCUGUGGUUUGUUGCCACCCGGUUUCCGGAGCACUCGAACCAGACUGCCUCGAUCAACGAGGAGGAAGGUGGGGAUGACGUCAAGUCCGUAUGGCCCUUACGGCCAGGGCUGCACACGUACUACAGUGCCCAGUACAGAAUGAACCGAAACCGCGAGGUGGGGGAAAUCUCGAAAACUGGGCCCAGUUCAGAUUGGAGUCUGCAACUCGACUCCAUGAAGUUGGAAUCGCUAGUAAUGGCGCAUCAGCUACGGCGCCGUGAAUACGUUCCCGGGUCUUGUACACACCGCCCGUCACAUCAUGGAAGCUGGUUUCGCCCGAAGUGCGUGCGCCAACCGCAAGGAGGCAGCGCCCUAAGGCAAGACUGGUGACUGGGAUGAAGUCGUAACAAGGUAA
rnacentral:rRNA from 1 species